rnacentral:tRNA from 1 species
GCCUGUUUAGCUCAGUUGGUUAGAGCAUCUGUCUCAUACGCGGAUUGCCGCUAGUUCGAAUCUAGCAACAGGCA